rnacentral:misc_RNA from 1 species
AAUAACAGUUUGCUUCAGUAUUAAUAAAAUGUAGUGUCAAAUGUUAAUCUCCUUUCUUCAAAAAUAAUAAACCAAGAGGCUGGAGAAUGAAGUUAAGCAAAGAAUUUGCUAGGACUCUUUUCAAAGUCUAUUCAGGGGGAUCAAUAUGAAACUAUUCAGCUAUCUAGAACCACAUCCAACUUGAAAAUAACACUAAAAUUUGUGUAGCAAUUCCAAUUCCAUGCUUUUACUAACAUAAACAAAAUAGCCCUGAUAUUUUUCUCAUGGAUCAUACUUAAGCUGGACUAAACACUUAAACUCCCACAUUUCACUGGCAUGCUGAUGGUUUCAGUUGUCCAUGUAUUCUAAUUGGUCAUGAAUUUGCCUCCGCAGCUAUAUCAUUAAAAGACACCAACUAAAGCAAAUACCUUUCUAUCCACAGACCACAAGUAACUGUUAAUUAUAGAACCUUCGAAUGAGAAUUAUCCACCGCGGAGAAUAACUCUUAACUCUAAUUCAAAUCGAAGUAAGUGAAUCAGUGGUCAGCGCUUUUCAAAUGGCUUAGCUAUAAAUGCAAAAAUCUUUCGAUGGGCAACAAAGGAGGAUGAUGUUCUAUUGUUUUGGCUCUCUCACAUGGCAAAACU